rnacentral:rRNA from 1 species
UGCCAGCCGCCGCGGUAAUACGAAGGGGGCUAGCGUUAUUCGGAAUUACUGGGCGUAAAGGGCGCGUAGGCGGUUAAUUUAGUUAGAUGUGAAAUCCCAAGGCUCAACCUUGGAACUGCAUUUAAUACUGGUUAACUAGAAUACAAGAGAGGACAGUGGAAUUCCUAGUGUAGAGGUGAAAUUCGUAGAUAUUAGGAAGAACAUCAGAGGCGAAGGCGACUGUCUGGCUUGAUAUUGACGCUGAGGCGCGAAAGCGUGGGUAGCAAACAGGAUUAGAUA